rnacentral:rRNA from 1 species
CCGCUUUGUCAGGGAAGAAAAGGUUCUGGCUAAUACCUGGGACUCAUGACGGUACCUGAAGAAUAGGCACCGGCUAACUACGUGCCAGCAGCCGCGGUAAUACGUAGGGUGCAAGCGUUAAUCGGAAUUACUGGGCGUAAAGCGUGCGCAGGCGGUUAUGCAAGACAGAGGUGAAAUCCCCGGGCUCAACCUGGGAACUGCCUUUGUGACUGCAUGGCUAGAGUACGGUAGAGGGGGAUGGAAUUCCGCGUGUAGCAGUGAAAUGCGUAGAUAUGCGGAGGAACACCGAUGGCGAAGGCAAUCCCCUGGACCUGUACUGACGCUCAUGCACGAAAGCGUGGGGAGCAAACAGGAUUAGAUACCCUGGUAGUCCACGCCCUAAACGAUGUCAACUGGUUGUUGGGAGGGUUUCUUCUCAGUAACGUAGCUAACGCGUGAAGUUGACCGCCUGGGGAGUACGGCCGCAAGGUUG